UAUAUAUAUAUGUGUGUGUGUAUAUGUAUAGGUAUGUUUACACACACACACACACACACACACACACACACACACACACGUGU
rnacentral:miRNA from 14 species